GGAAUCUUCCACAAUGGACGCAAGUCUGAUGGAGCAACGCCGCGUGAGUGAAGAAGGUCCUCGGAUCGUAAAACUCUGUUGUUAGAGAAGAACACGAGUGAGAGUAACUGUUCAUUCGAUGACGGUAUCUAACCAGCAAGUCACGGCUAACUACGUGCCAG
rnacentral:rRNA from 1 species